rnacentral:tRNA from 1 species
GAGUGAUGGUGCAGUGGCAGCACACGAGGUUCCAACCCUCUAGGCCGGGGUUCGAUUCCCCGUC